rnacentral:lncRNA from 1 species
CACAAGUGUUCUCACACAGAAUGCCACUAUAAGGGAGGAAUGACCUCCCCUAUGUGACCUCACAGGUGGCCAACAUUAGCGAGAAAUAUGAAACGAUGGACGUGAGAGACUACAGGGAGCACAGGUGAAACACGGCAGGUUCACAGAAACGUGUGACGUCGAAAGAGACCGAGUUCCCACAAGUUCACUAUUUGUCCUGUCCACGUGGAACUGAAGUGCUAGUAAGCAGCAAAAUGGCCACAAAGCAGCUAGUCUAAUGGAAAAGGAAAGGUAAUUCACAUCGAUUACCUACUACGGCGUUAUUCACAACAACCAAGACAUGGAAGCAACCUAAGUGCCCAUCGACUGAUGAGUUGGUAAAGAAGAUAUAUACACACACACAAUGGUAUACUACUCAGCCAUAAAAAAGGACAAAAUCGUCCUAUUUGC